CGAGGGAAGCUCGUUGAUCGUCGCGUCCGAGUGUUCCCAUGUGCGCCGGUAGAACCCGAUGAUCUGAUCGCGGGUCUCGUCCUCGGCCGCCCACAGAUCGCUGCCGUCGGAGUCCUGCCACCGGGGCAGCGGUUCCGGGAAAGGGCGGUCGAAGGCCUCGCCGAAGUACCUGGCCUCGACGGUGGCCACGUGUUUGACCAGGCCGAGGAGGUUGGUCCCGGUCGCUGUCAACGGCCGGCGGGCGUCGUAAUCGGACAAGCCGUCGAGUUUCCAGAGCAGCGCCUUGCGGUCCCGCCGCAGUCUCCCGUGCAGGUUGUCCUUCGCGAAUUCAUCGAUCAUGCGGCAUGAGCCUGGCAUGGGCUCCUCGUGGUCUCAAGAUCGGGUAUGUGGUCCGCAACGACCGACAGAGUCGAGGCCUGGCCAUGGCCGCCGCCUUGGC
rnacentral:tmRNA from 1 species